CAGGCUUUCAUCCUGCUAUGCCCUCACUUUCCAAAACUUUCCAAAGUAAUCUCCAGGGGUGGAAGAGACAAGGAAUUUUUAAAGCAAGUUCAGAGGCAUGGCUGCACAGAUUGAACCUGGAAUCUUCAAGAAAUGAAGAAUGUGCAUCCGAUUUCUCCACUACUCAAAUGUUCUUAGGAACAUCCUCUGCUUACCUGGUACUCCCUCUGCAUUUGAGGAUAACUUGACAGAAUCAAAAACUGGCAACAUGAGAAGUCAAAAGGAGUAAUGGGAUGGUGAUGGCAAAUGGUGACUCAAAAUUUCAGACAAGAGAUUGGGCAAAGGUCAAGCUGGGAAGAUGGAG
rnacentral:lncRNA from 13 species